ensembl:lncRNA
GCGAGACCGCGCUCAUCAACGCGCUUCAUCGGGAAAUCCUCGGCAACGCUGCAUGGGAUUUGUUCAAAAAUGUCUCCAAAUAAGUGUGUUUUUGGAUGUGAGGGCAAGUUUACCGUGUUCAGCUUCCCAAAGAACCCAGCAUUACAUGAACAGUGGAUGCAGUUUGUUUUUCCGGGGCAGCAACGGAGUGUAGCAAGUGCGUUUGUGUGUUCUCGUCAUUUCAGUGAUGAAUGUUUUAUAAACAAGGCCCAGGUCGACGCUGGAUUUGCACAUGGUUUGCUAUUAAAACAUGGAGCGUUCCCAGUGAUAAAGACCCCAUUCAUAUUCAUCCAUCACGAGCAUAAGCAGUAUUCAGCACAUUACAUUGCUGAGCUCAGAACAGGCCGCAUGGCACCUGUGACCAAGUAUAGCCAGGUGUGUGUGUGUAUCUGCCCCAAUUCCACAUAAAAUAGAUCAACAAGUAGUGUGCAGGAUCUCUCCAUUCACGGGACGUGUGCAUAGUUAUCGGACAGGAUGAAGUGAAGAGGGUCGCAUUUGAAAGGAAAGGUUGGCGUGUCUAUUUGCGUGGGC